AUACGGAGGGUGCAAGCGUUGUUCGGAAUUACUGGGCGUAAAGGGCGCGUAGGUGGCUAAGUAAGUCAGGUGUGAAAUCCUUCCGCUUAACGGGAGAAGUGCACUUGAAACUGCUUAGCUAGAGUACGGGAGAGGAAGGUGGAAUUCCUGGUGUAGAGGUGAAAUUCAUAGAUAUCGGGAAGAACACCGGUGGCGAAGGCGGCCUUCUGGCCCGUUACUGACGCUGAGGCGCGAAAGCGUGGGGAGC
rnacentral:rRNA from 1 species